CCCUUAGACGUUCUGGGCCGCACGCGCGCUACACUGAUGCAUUCAACGAGUAUUUCCUUGGCCGAGAGGCCUGGGCAAUCUUUUAAACCUGCAUCGUGAUAGGGAUAGAUUAUUGCAAUUAUUAAUCUUGAACGAGGAAUUCCUAGUAAACGCAAAUCAUCAAUUUGCAUUGAUUACGUCCCUGCCCUUUGUACACACCGCCCGUCGCACCUACCGAUUGAAUGGUCCGGUGAAAUCUCGGGAUUGUGGCCAGUUCACUUUAUUGGGAGUUGGCUGCGAGAACUUGCUUAAACCUUAUCACUUAGAGGAAGGAGAAGUCGUAACA
rnacentral:rRNA from 1 species